rnacentral:rRNA from 1 species
AUUGAACGCUGGCGGCAGGCCUAACACAUGCAAGUCGAGCGAGAGGCGGACGGGUGAGUAAUGUAUGGGGCUCUGCCCGAUAGAGGGGGAUAACUACUGGAAACGGUGGCUAAUACCGCAUACUAUCGCAUGAACCCAUAUGGGAUUAGCUAGUGGGUGGGGUAAAGGCUAACAAAGGCGACGAUCUCUAGCUGGUCUGAGAGGAUGAUCAGCCACACUGGGACUGAGACACGGCCCAGACUCCGACGGGAGGCAGCAGUGGGGAAUAUUGCGCAAGGGGCGAAAGCCUGAUGCAGCCAUGCCGCGUGUAUGAAGAAGGCCUUAGGGUUGUAAAGUACUUUCAGCGGGGAGGCGUUACCCGCAGAAGAAGCACCGGCUAACUCCGUGCCAGCCGCCGCGGUAAUUC